AACCAGCAUUGUACGAGUUCGAAUGGUACCUAUACAUACCUACUAAAUAGCCUCUUUCAUUGACCAGUUAGAACCAAUGUUACAGCGUCCUAAACCCAUCCACUGGGCUAAAGAAAAAGUCAAAACUAAUAAAAAAUCCUCCUAUUCAAUUUGAUACUCCAAGAUCAAUACAGUUCAUCUUAAAUCACUCUUUAGCAGCUAUCAUCUCCUAAUUCACCACUAGUCCAAAAUCCUAGGUAAAGCUAUCAUAAAAGCUAUAUUACUCACCAAAAUAACCAAUACUUGUCUUCUAAAGGUUCGGAUCCAAUUAAGUGUAAAUG
rnacentral:lncRNA from 1 species